AUGGCAGCAGCGUGGCCUCCGCCACCGUGCACAUCCGAAUGGCCUUUCUGAGAAAAGUCUACAGCAUUCUUUCUCUGCAGGUUCUCUUAACUACAGUGACUUCAACAGUUUUUUUAUACUUUGAGUCUGUACGGACAUUUGUACAUGAGAGUCCUGCCUUAAUUUUGCUGUUUGCCCUCGGAUCUCUGGGUUUGAUUUUUGCGUUGAUUUUAAACAGACAUAAGUAUCCCCUUAACCUGUACCUACUUUUUGGAUUUACGCUGUUGGAAGCUCUGACUGUGGCAGUUGUUGUUACUUUCUAUGAUGUAUAUAUUAUUCUGCAAGCUUUCAUACUGACUACUACAGUAUUUUUUGGUUUGACUGUGUAUACUCUACAAUCUAAGAAGGAUUUCAGCAAAUUUGGAGCAGGGUAAGUUUUUUUUUUUUAUAGUGAGAUAAUGGAGUUGGUCUUAGCCGCUGCAGGAGCCCUUCUUUUCUGUGGAUUCAUCAUCUAUGACACACACUCACUGAUGCAUAAACUGUCACCUGAAGAGUACGUAUUAGCUGCCAUCAGCCUCUACUUGGAUAUCAUCAAUCUAUUCCUGCACCUGUUACGGUUUCUGGAAGCAGUUAAUAAAAAGUAAUUAAAAGUAUCUCAGCUCAACUGAAGAACAACAAAAAAAAUUUAAUGAGAAAAAAGGAUUAAAGUAAUUGGAAGCAGUAUAUAGAAACUGUUUCAUUAAGUAAUAA
rnacentral:lncRNA from 1 species